UACGGAGGGGGCUAGCGUUGUUCGGAAUUACUGGGCGUAAAGCGCACGUAGGCGGACCAGAAAGUUGGGGGUGAAAUCCCGGGGCUCAACCUCGGAACUGCCUUCAAAACUAUUGGUCUUGAGUUCGAGAGAGGUGAGUGGAAUUCCGAGUGUAGAGGUGAAAUUCGUAGAUAUUCGGAGGAACACCAGUGGCGAAGGCGGCUCACUGGCUCGACACUGACGCUGAGGUGCGAAAGCGUGGGGAGCAAACAGG
rnacentral:rRNA from 1 species